CUACGGGGCGCUGCAGUGAGGAAUAUUGCACAAUGGGGGGAACCCUGAUGCAGCAACGCCGCGUGGAGGAUGACGCAUUUCGGUGUGUAAGCUCCUUUUAUAUGUCAAGAAAAUGACGGUAGCAUAUGAAUAAGCACCGGCUAACUCCGUGCCAGCAGCCGCGGUAAUACGGAGGGUGCAAGCGUUACUCGGAAUCACUGGGCGUAAAGGACGCGUAGGCGGGUUGGAAAGUCAGGUGUGAAAUCCUACAGCUUAACUGCAGAACUGCACUUGAAACUUCUAAUCUAGAGUAUGGGAGGGGGAGAUGGAAUUAGUGGUGUAGGGGUAAAAUCCGUAGAUAUCACUAGGAAUACCUAAAGCGAAGGCGAUCUCCUGGAACAUUACUGACGCUAAGGCGUGAAAGCGUGGGGAGCAAACAGGAUUAGAUACCCCGGUAGUC
rnacentral:rRNA from 1 species